rnacentral:piRNA from 1 species
UUACAGAUGGCCCCAAAGACUCUGGAGCAGA